UACGGAGGGUGCAAGCGUUGUUCGGAAUCACUGGGCGUAAAGCGCGUGUAGGCGGCCUCUUAAGUCUGGUGUGAAAGCCCGGGGCUCACCCCCGGAAGGGCACUGGAUACUGGGAGGCUAGAGUACCGGAGAGGAGGGUGGAAUUCCUGGUGUAGCGGUGAAAUGCGUAGAUAUCAGGAGAAACACCGGUGGCGAAGGCGGCCCUCUGGACGGCUACUGACGCUGCGGCGCGACAGCGUGGGGAGCAAACCGG
rnacentral:rRNA from 1 species